rnacentral:rRNA from 1 species
UAUACGACCGUACCGCAAACCGACACUGGUGCGCGAGAUGAGUAUUCUAAGGCGCUUGAGAGAACUCAGGAGAAGGAACUCGGCAAAUUGACACCGUAACUUCGGAAGAAGGUGUGCCCUAUUAGUGUGCAGUGAACAACGAAGCAUGAAUGGGUUGCAAAAAAUCGGUGGCUGCGACUGUUUAUUAAAAACACAGCACUCUGCAAACACGAAAGUGGACGUAUAGGGUGUGACGCCUGCCCGGUGCUGGAAGAUUAAAUGAUGGGGUGCAAGCUCUUGAUUGAAGUCCCAGUAAACGGCGGCCGUAACAAUAACGGUCCUAAGGUAGCGAAAUUCCUUGUCGGGUAAGUUCCGACCUGCACGAAUGGCGUAACGAUGGCCACACUGUCUCCUCCUGAGACUCAGCGAAGUUGAAAUGUUUGUGAUGAUGCAAUCUCCCCGCGGAAAGACGGAAAGACCCCAUGAACCUUUACUGUAGCUUUGUAUUGGACUUUGAACAGAUCUGUGUAGGAUAGGUGGGAGGCUUUGAAGCAGGGUCGCUAGAUCUUGUGGAGCCAACGUUGAAAUACCACCCUGGUGUGUUUGAGGUUCUAACCUAGGUCCAUUAUCUGGAUCGGGGACAGUGCAUGGUAGGCAGUUUGACUGGGGCGGUCUCCUCCCAAAGCGUAACGGAGGAGUUCGAAGGUACGCUAGUUACGGUCGGACAUCGUGACGAUAGUGCAAUGGCAUAAGCGUGCUUAACUGCGAGACUGACAAGUCGAGCAGAUGCGAAAGCAGGACAUAGUGAUCCGGUGGUUCUGUAUGGAAGGGCCAUCGCUCAACGGAUAAAAGGUACUCUGGGGAUAACAGGCUGAUACCGCCCAAGAGUUCAUAUCGACGGCGGUGUUUGGCACCUCGAUGUCGGCUCAUCUCAUCCUGGGGCUGUAGCCGGUCCCAAGGGUAUGGCUGUUCGCCAUUUAAAGAGGUACGUGAGCUGGGUUUAAAACGUCGUGAGACAGUUUGGUCCCUAUCCUCCGUGGGCGCUGCAGAUUUGAGGAAGCCUGCUCCUAGUACGAGAGGACCGGAGUGGACACACCUCUGGUGUAUCGGUUGUCACGCCAGUGGCAUUGCCGAGUAGCUAAGUGUGGAAGAGAUAACCGCUGAAAGCAUCUAAGCGGGAAACUCGUUUCAAGAUGAGAUCUGCCGGGGCCUUGAGCCCCCUAAAGAGUCGUUCAAGACCAGGACGUUGAUAGGUCAGGUGUGGAA